rnacentral:rRNA from 1 species
CAUGCAAGUCGAACGAUGAAGCCCAGCUUGCUGGGUGGAAGAGUGGCGAACGGGUGAGUAACACGUGAGUAACCUGCCCUGAACUCUGGGAUAAGCACUGGAAACGGUGUCUAAUACUGGAUACGACCUAUCACCGCAUGGUGUGUGGGUGGAAAGAUUUAUCGGUUCUGGAUGGACUCGCGGCCUAUCAGCUAGAUGGUGAGGUAAUGGCUCACCAUGGCGACGACGGGUAGCCGGCCUGAGAGGGUGACCGGCCACACUGGGACUGAGACACGGCCCAGACUCCUACGGGAGGCAGCAGUGGGGAAUAUUGCACAAUGGGCGCAAGCCUGAUGCAGCAACGCCGCGUGAGGGAUGACGGCCUUCGGGUUGUAAACCUCUUUUAGUAGGGAAGAAGCGAAAGUGACGGUACCUGCAGAAAAAGCACCGGCUAACUACGUGCCAGCAGCCGCGGUAAUACGUAGGGUGCAAGCGUUGUCCGGAAUUAUUGGGCGUAAAGAGCUCGUAGGCGGCUUGUCGCGUCUGCUGUGAAAACCCGGGGCUCAACCCCGGGCCUGCAGUGGGUACGGGCAGGCUAGAGUGCGGUAGGGGAGAUUGGAAUUCCUGGUGUAGCGGUGGAAUGCGCAGAUAUCAGGAGGAACACCGAUGGCGAAGGCAGAUCUCUGGGCCGCUACUGACGCUGAGGAGCGAAAGCAUGGGGAGCGAACAGGAUUAGAUACCCUGGUAGUCCAUGCCGUAAACGUUGGGAACUAGAUGUAGGGCCUGUUCCACGGGUUCUGUGUCGUAGCUAACGCAUUAAGUUCCCCGCCUGGGGAGUACGGCCGCAAGGCUAAAACUCAAAGGAAUUGACGGGGGCCCGCACAAGCGGCGGAGCAUGCGGAUUAAUUCGAUGCAACGCGAAGAACCUUACCAAGGCUUGACAUAUACGAGAACGGGCGAGAGAUCGUCACUCUUUGGACACUCGUAUACAGGUGGUGCAUGG